UAUUUGAGAGUUUGAUCCUGGCUCAGGAUGAACGCUGGCGGCGUGCCUAACACAUGCAAGUUGAGCGAUUUACUUCGGUAAAGAGCGGCGGACGGGUGAGUAACGCGUGGGUAACCUACCCUGUACACACGGAUAACAUACCGAAAGGUAUGCUAAUACGGGAUAAUAUAUUUGAGAGGCAUCUCUUGAAUAUCAAAGGUGAGCCAGUACAGGAUGGACCCGCGUCUGAUUAGCUAGUUGGUAAGGUAACGGCUUACCAAGGCGACGAUCAGUAGCCGACCUGGGAGGGUGAUCGGCCACAUUGGAACUGAGACACGGUCCAAACUCCUACGGGAGGCAGCAGUGGGGAAUAUUGCACAAUGGGCGAAAGCCUGAUGCAGCAACGCCGCGUGAGUGAUGAAGGCCUUCGGG
rnacentral:rRNA from 1 species